rnacentral:misc_RNA from 1 species
UACAUAUGAAUAAGACAUGAAGUUUCUCUUCAUUCUGAAGAAGCAAGCAAUGCUGUUAUCUGGUCCUUGUUAUCAUUAGGAGUUUCAUUCUUUUUCUAGUUGUUUGCUUAUUGAUUUAUGUAUUACUUGCUAUCUUUUUCAGUGCUUCCCUCAAGAGCACUUGCCAUUUUAAACCUAGAGGGUUGUAAUAUAUCCUCCUUCCAUCAUUAAUGAAUUAUUAGUGAAUGAUCUACAUUCAUGCUCCAGUAGUUUAUUUCUUAGAUUGCCAUUGCUUUUGUAGUUUACUUCUUGGAUGUCGUGCAUAUUUCUAGAUUCCUUUUUUAUCAUCUCUUUGAACUUACUCACCAUUUGAAAAGGGAUUGGAUCAAGCAUGACAUAUGAGGAGAAAGGAAAAGGCACUUUCUCUUGUCAAUUGUCUGAAUCAACCAAUUUUAAGUGCAAUGUUCAUAACAAUUUUUGACAAAAAUAUUGUGCUUGGACAAAAUCUGUUACACCUUUUCUGUUAGAAGCAUGUUUAAUAGAUUAAGUUUCUUUUCAUUCUAUAUAAGAAGUAUUUGUGAAAUAUAGCCUCAUUAUUGGUGACUUAAUAUUAAUUAGUAAAGCAAUACAUUGUCCUGUGAUUCAUUUGUUCACCAGUCAUUUAUGUUUUGCCUACUCUUUCAGUAUUUCUAAAUGACUUAUUUUGAAAAGGAAGGGACUUUGCUUGGACUUGUAUGAGAUCUGGGGACAAAAGAAAUAAACUCUUUGCUUAUUAGUAGUCCCAGUGACCCAUUCAAAAAGGCAUACAUCUUUAAUGAUUAUUUACAAUGAGCUUUGUGGUUAGACAAACACAUUGAUUAAUGUUUAAUCUUAAAGCAUUUUGUAAAUUGAAUAUUGAAAUUUUGCUCUAAUUACCAAAAAUCCCCUGUGAUUAAUAUUUGAUUCAUGGAACUUGUUCCAUUUCAGCUUGCAUAACAAAGUAUCAUAACAUGGACUGUCACAUGAGAUUCUAGUUCUCUUGUUUAAUUUUCUUAUGUUCUUUCUCUUAUGGCUAAUUUCUUGUGCAAUUCACCUUAAAAAGACUUCCUUGUUUUGUUAUGAUUCUGAUCAAAUCGAACUUUCAGCUUGCAUAUAAUUAUCAGUUUAUCACUACAAGCAUCUUUCCAAGUUUCUGAUUAUGAACCCUUCUUUUUUGUAUAUCUACUGUGCAAGGCUGCCAACAUUGAAUUCCAAUUUUUUAUUACUUGAAUGUGUUAUUUUCUGAACCAUUCAAUUUUUUUUCCUUUGCUGAAAAAUUAAGCUUAAGACAUGCUGCUUUUUCAGUGGUGACAGUCAAAUUUCAUCUUGUCUUUGUGUUUUGUUUUCCUUUUAUGGGCAAAAACGUUCUUCUGCAGCAUACCUUUAUGCAUGUUCUAAUGCAUUAUUAUUACUCAGAAAAUAUUUAUUUCAGGAAGGAGUAUAACUUGCAAAGAAUGAACUGAUCUUCUAGUACUAUAUAUGGAGUUCCAUGAGAUUUAUGACUUUUCGGAUCUAGAACUCUUGCACAGAUUUUGAACCAUUUACUCCAUUAUUGCAGGUACUUGAAGGGCAGUUCGAUGUGUGCAGCAAAAUGCAACAACAAGAGUCAGAGAGUGGGUGCACCCUAGAGGUCUUAGGU